rnacentral:rRNA from 1 species
UACGGAGAGUGCAAACGUUGUUCGGAUUCACUGGGCGUAAAGGGCACGUAGGCGGCCGCCUAAGUCAGACGUGAAAUCCCUCGGCUCAACCGGGGAACUGCGUCUGAUACUGGGUGGCUUGAAUCCGGGAGAGGGAUGCGGAAUUCCAGGUGUAGCGGUGAAAUGCGUAGAUAUCUGGAGGAACACCGGUGGCGAAGGCGGCAUCCUGGACCGGCAUUGACGCUGAGGCGCGAAAGCCAGGGGAGCAAACGGG